rnacentral:tRNA from 1 species
GCCCAGCUAGCUCAAUCAUUAGAGCAUAAGACUCUUAAUCUCAGGGUCAUGGAUUCAUGCCCCACAUUGGGCG